rnacentral:rRNA from 1 species
GUCUACAGCCACACCACCCUGAACUUGCCGGAUCUCGUCUGAUCUUGGAAGCUAAGCAGGGUCGGGCCUGGUUAGUGUUUGGAUGGGAGAAAUGCUGUUAACAAUGAUGCAACCAUCUAUGGGGUGUGUAGAUU